UUAUAUUUUGUUCUAGCUUCACUAGUGUUGGUACAAGAUUCCAUAGAGCACUGGGAUGCUAGAACAGACGGCAGGACUGGGUCUCCUAGGGAUAUGACCUAUAAAAAAAUUUUGAUCGAAGAUUACUUCGGUGGAAACUCUCUGACGCUCGAGUCAGAACUCUUGUUCAACAGAUUAAGGAGCGUGAAAGGCAGAAUAAUGACGUAUCUUUUUUAUUAAGGUCUCCUUUGGACUCCUUUUUACAAAGAGGUGGAAGCUUUGAUUGGUAAGUGGGU
rnacentral:lncRNA from 1 species